CUAAAAGGUGGCCAAGAUUUUGCAACAGCAAUGAAGAACAAUUAAACAAGCAACACUUGUUGUUGAUCGAUCCUUCAGGGAAUGCAUUUGUUCGACCACCAUAAAAGUGAAAAUUACAUUUUAAGUUUGUUCUUCUGCUACCCGUACAACGGCUGUAUGAAACAACCAACAACCACACUUCAUCAUAUCAGAAUAAUGCAUCUAUCCAUCAAAAUUUAAAGCUGGACCAACGUUUUCUUCUUCCUCCCUACAUACAAAUAUGCGUAAUGCAGGAUUUGUUUUUGCAGGUUGCAUGCAGGCGACCACAGUUUAUUCUUAAGCAAUAAGCAUCGUCCACCUUAAACAGGUUGUGCGGUACAUUGCACAUGCGCAUGACUUUUUCCUAAAAGCAUUGAGUUUUUCAUUUCGUAUUCGUUGAGGAAAAAGCUGUCAAGCACCAUAGGAUAUCGGACAACACUGCAAGAAGCUUGUAGUGGAUUAUGGGGUGGAGCUGUUAAUAUCGCGUAAUCAUCUUUAUAGUCAACAGCAUUAAACAACACCAAAAAGGAACAAGACUAAGCAACAAACAACAGCUACCAGUGUGCAACCUUUAAUACAAAUGCCUUUAAUACACAAAUGUCUUCUCCAUGUUCCUGUUGGCUGCCGUUGUACAUCAUGGGCACCAGUAUGAGCUUCCGCUCUUCUUUCAACAAAUUAAUCGGUUUUUCUCUCAUCGACUUCAUAAUGAUUUGUAGUUUAAUUUUUAUGCUAAUGAUAAUUGCUUUAAAUUAAAUCGAUAUUCUGAUUACUUUCAUAACUGUUUAAUGCUUGUAAAUAAUUGUAAUGAGUUUUGAUAGUAAAUUUUAGAUAAAAUUAAAUAUUUUUUUAUCCGUUAAUAGAUUUCAAUUCGAAUAGUUUAUUACUUUCGCUUAAAAGAUAUGAAAAUGUUUGCAUCAAUGAUAUUGACAUGGAAGCAGCAGAUGUUAUGGGGAAUUGAAAGUUGCAAGUCAAUAAAAAAUUUCUUAGUUAUUUUAUGUUCCUAUGAUCAGCAUUGAUUAAGGCCAUAAGAUCAGCAUCAGCAAAGGAAAUAUGUUGUUAUAUAGGAGGACAGUUACGAAAGACGUAUUAUAAAGGGACCUUAUCCAGAAGAGAAGACCAAUUAUGGACCGAUACUAAUAAGAUUUUGUGAAAAUAUUUUGAUUCCUAUAACACUUUUUUAUUCCGAAUUUCCUAUAAACUUAUGAUCAUUAAAGAAAUUUCCUAAAGCGAUUCUUAUAUGUGGGAUAUAUUAAAAUGAAGCAAUACGUCUUUAACUUCUGUUCGAACAAAUGAAAAUUGUUAAAAUUUCAAAUAACGAAUAAACCGAAUAUUUUAUAUCAAUUAACCGAAUAAGAAAAACUUACUAUUUAG